rnacentral:tRNA from 1 species
GCUUGGCUAGCUCAGUCGGUAGAGCAUGAGACCCUUAAUCUCAGGGUUGUGGGUUUGAGCUCCACGUUGGGUG